rnacentral:rRNA from 1 species
AUUGAACGCUGGCGGCAUGCCUUACACAUGCAAGUCGAACGGCAGCACGGGUGCUUGCACCUGGUGGCGAGUGGCGAACGGGUGAGUAAUACAUCGGAACAUGUCCUGUAGUGGGGGAUAGCCCGGCGAAAGCCGGAUUAAUACCGCAUACGAUCUACGGAUGAAAGCGGGGGACCUUCGGGCCUCGCGCUAUAGGGUUGGCCGAUGGCUGAUUAGCUAGUUGGUGGGGUAAAGGCCUACCAAGGCGACGAUCAGUAGCUGGUCUGAGAGGACGACCAGCCACACUGGGACUGAGACACGGCCCAGACUCCUACGGGAGGCAGCAGUGGGGAAUUUUGGACAAUGGGCGAAAGCCUGAUCCAGCAAUGCCGCGUGUGUGAAGAAGGCCUUCGGGUUGUAUAGCACUUUUGUCCGGAAAGAAAUCCUUGGCCCUAAUACGGUCGGGGGAUGACGGUACCGGAAGAAUAAGCACCGGCUAACUACGUG